rnacentral:rRNA from 1 species
ACGGGUGAGUAAUACAUCGGAACGUGCCCAAGAGUGGGGGAUAACGGAGCGAAAGCUUUGCUAAUACCGCAUACGAUCUACGGAUGAAAGCAGGGGACCGCAAGGCCUUGCGCUCAUGGAGCGGCCGAUGGCAGAUUUGGUAGUUGGUGGGAUAAAAGCUUACCAAGCCGACGAUCUGUAGCUGGUCUGAGAGGACGACCAGCCACACUGGGACUGAGACACGGCCCAGACUCCUACGGGAGGCAGCAGUGGGGAAUUUUGGACAAUGGGCGCAAGCCUGAUCCAGCCAUGCCGCGUGCAGGAUGAAGGCCUUCGGGUUGUAAACUGCUUUUGUACGGAACGAAAAGCCUCUUUCUAAUAAAGAGGGGUCAUGACGGUACCGUAAGAAUAAGCACCGGCUAACUACGUGCCAGCAGCCGCGGUAAUACGUAGGGUGCGAGCGUUAAUCGGAAUUACUGGGCGUAAAGCGUGCGCAGGCGGUAAUGUAAGACAGAUGUGAAAUCCCCGGGCUCAACCUGGGAACUGCAUUUGUGACUGCAUUGCUGGAGUGCGGCAGAGGGGGAUGGAAUUCCGCGUGUAGCAGUGAA